rnacentral:rRNA from 1 species
AUGACCUCUCGCCCCCUCCUCCUCCUCCUCCUCCCGCCUCCUGCCUCUCCCUCCUCCGCUCCCUCCUGCUCCGCCUCCGUGCCAUUCCCCGCCCCCACCUCCCCACCCUCCUCUCCCUCGCCCUCCCCGGCAAAAACGGCAACGACGGCGGCGGUGGCAACAACAGCGGCGGCGGUGGGGAUGACGAAACAGGGGACGGCGGCGGCGAGUGGGGCGGCCACCGGGGGGAGGCGCUGUUCGUGCUGCCGCAGGCGGGGAGGAAGCUCUCCAGCCUGCCGGCGGACCUCGCCAUGGCCGUGGAGGGCGGCCGCGUCACGGGAUAUGGAGCGCUCGCCGCUGCUCCAUUGGCUGCUGGGCUUUAGAUGGUUCAGGGAGCGCCUCCUCGCCGACGACCUCUUCCUCGCCAAGCUCGCCAUGGAGAUGGGCGUCGGCAUGAUCGCCAAGAGUGCCCCGAGGCUCCCUCCCACCAUUCCUUCCCCCGCGGCAGUGUCACCAUGGACCACGGAGCAAAGUCUCGACCGCGGCGGCGCUGUCGUGUUGAGGAGGGAGGAUCAAGAAGGGGGGUGGAGCUGGGGCGACGGCCACACGGAAGGAGCCGGGAGCAUGCCAGAGCGGCACUCAGUUUGCUCAGGUGCCGCUGUGCAGUCGUAUCUACGAGCAGGUAUAUUUGGAAUUGGAGGAAACAUAUCCUGA